CUAACCCUAAGUCAUUUCUCCUAAUUCGCUGCCUUCAGAUGCUCUCUUAUCUCCACUCUUCUCUCAAACAUAACCCUAGACUCCUGCACUCACCUCCUUCUCCGGUCAUCUCCGGCAACUAUCCCUUUCAACCCAAGCCUCCAAUGAGUCUCUCAUCAUCUUGCUAGUCAUCUCUAUGACCUUCAAGGAUCAUGGGCCAUGUUGGUUUGGACCUAGGAUUUCUGUUUCUGUUACUUAUGGGUUUUCUGGUGUGAUUUUGGAAAAAAUCACACCUUAUAUGUCACGAUCAGUGAAGUUUUAGAAGGUUCUUUUGAUUUUUUACUUGUGUAUUUUUUUUGAAACCCUAACUCUCUUCUAAAUCUCUCAGAUCUAUGUUAUUUUUAUGCUUUAAGCCUAUUUCCUUUUGUGAUUUGCUUAUUCUCGAGCUUUUUUCUGAAAGAUCUUCUACUCUAAACCAUUUUUACUCCUUUUGAAAAACUAGGAUUUUCAGAGUUCUUUUAUACAUGUUUUGACUAAUUUCUUUAUGAUUAAACCCUCUUCCUUAAUCUCAAUCGAUUCUAAGUUCUUACUAUUUUUUAACUCAACUCUGUUAAAAAAGCCCUAAUUUCUUAAAGAUUUUCUUCCCUUGAUUCUGUGAGUUAGCAUGAUUUUCUUUACUUGUUUCUAUGUGUUAUCCUAAUUUUCUUUACUUGUCUCCGUGUGAUAGCUUUAUUUUCAUUACUCUGCUUCUAGUUAGCAUGAUGUUCUCCAUUUUUGUUCCGUGUGUUAGCAUGACUUUCUUUUACUUCAUUUCUGUGUGUUAGCCUGUUUACCUGGUCCUUGUUAAUCUCUCGUGGUCACCAUGCUUCGAAUAUUUUCUGUUGAAUCUCUAGCCUACUUAUAUCACCUCUACAUGACUGUGUUUGCUCAUCUUUUAUUUUUUACCUAUGUAACCGACCUUGUUUGUUUGCUACUUCUGUUCAAUAGUCUCUGCUUGUAUGUCGAGAUAUGCAGAAUCAUGACUCCCCAUGAUUGAUUCUGAUUGUCCUUAACUUUUGGUAAUUGAAAUAUUUUCCUUCAAAGGCCUAGAAUUCUACUCGUCUGUUUAAAUUAUCUAAUUGCAUUACCUUAUUUACUAUGGUACUUUGUUUUACUUACUCUUUGGGUCUUUCUGAAUUUGGUCGUAAUUGACUACUUUAUGCCUACUAAAUCUUGACCCUUUCCUUAUUUAAUCAUGCACUGAUUUCCCUUCCUCCCCUUAUAUGGUACUGAAUCUUCCCGUUUGGACUUGACUCCUUUUAGUUAAGGAAGUACUUCUUGAUUCUCUAGAUGAUUAAUUAUGAGUUCUUAAAAUAGUAUACUACUAUGAUUUUUACCUUAUUCCACUACCUAAUUUUAACUAUAAAUACUCUAAGUCUUUCACAAACAAGACACACACUUGGCUUCCAAAAAGCUCCUCUCCUACUUAAAAUCUCUAUUAUUCUACUACUAUUGGCCAGUUGGAAGCCAAGGCUAAUCAUCUAUAUUCUUUUGUUCUUUCAUUCUGCCUACUUUUUCUUCAGUGGUACGUCCUAGUUUAAUUUAAAGUAUCAACAACAACAUGUUUCUCUUCUUGUUUCAAUUUAUUUUAUUUCAAGCCUUCUUUUACUUAUGGUUUUGUUGUGAAGUUUGAAGCUAAGAAUGCUUCUGCAUGUAUAGGCAAUCCUUAGGGCAUUUCCAAAACUUUUAUUUCUCUGAAGCUAUUUCUGUCACCGAACAUUUCUGAAUUCUAAUGAGCUUUUAAAAGAGGUACUAAGCAACUAAUAGGUUGUGACUUAUAUAUCUGAAAGCGGUUUGUUUCUGUAUAUAUACUUUGGAAACCUGCCUUAAGACUUGGGUUACUAAAGGUAUUACUUGUGGUUGAGUCAUGUUGCAUAUAUACUUGUUUGCGGAGGAAACCAUGAGCCUUUAGUUGCUUCAUCUAUGUGAAAGUCCAAAAUGUUUUCUUUGAUUGUCGCCUUAGAUUUUACCUUUAAAACCUUAGGGGUAUGUCUAGAAAUAGCUAUAGAUAGAAGUCCUAACUCCUUUUGGACUAUUUACAAUGGACGGGUAGCAGCACACAAUAUGAAUCAGUGACCAACACUUGUUUUGCAUGACCAAUAAUUUGAUGUGACGGGUAGACAUGGGAUUUGAUCACAUAUGUGUUAAUGGUAUGUGUAGCCCCUCGUUGAGGAGUGUUUAUCAGACAUUGCAUGAGGUGAUCCUGUAGGAUAAACAACCUAGGACCCCUCUUUACCCAAACAUUCUUGUUUAAAACUUUUCUUUAUUAUUUUGUUCAACCUUCAUUUCAUUACUUGACUUGUUCAAACAUGUUGUACUUAUUUGAUUCAACUAGUUUUAUGGAAUAAUUUGUAAAUAUACGUUUGGUCUGGACCCAUAGUUGUGGACCAAGAGGGGUGCCUAACACCUUUCCGUUGAGGUUAUCUCGAGCCCUUACUCUAAUCUCUAGUAAUACAAAAUAAUCCAAGAGUUAAUUACUCUAAGUUCCCUACGCACCUUAAUUCUUUAGGUGGUGACUCUUCAAAUGCCUAAUUCCCAAAAGGAAAUGAGUCAUUUAACCCCAUGGAAUGUCGAAACCUGGACUUCUCCCCGUGAGGAUGGAGAAAAAUAGGGCGCGCCAACAUGUCGACUCUGAUGGGAAAAUUUUUAGGCUUUUACCAUAACAAACUUGUUUUUACAAAUUAGUCCAAGCAUGUUUAUCCCAUAUCGUGCUCCCUUAUCUGAAUUUAGCUGUUGUUUCUUUUGAGCAUUUAUGAUUUCUUUAUUACCCUGAAAACUAACUUGUCUCUUUAUUUUCCUUUUUUUAUAUCUGUCUUUUGAAUUAUUUAAAUGCUGUAUUUAUUCUUCCAACGUUAAAAUACUUGCCUACAUGUUACUAACUGCUGCAUAAAUGAUGCUCCAUAUCAUAUUCUACUCGUAUGUCUCAAAUCCUAUAACAAAGCUUUACUGAGUGGCUGCACUCUUUCUAUUUAUUACCCUUAAAUUUAGAAAGGCUUAUUUGCAGUAAAACCAGUCGACCAGCAGUGUAGUCGUCGGUUCUGUGCCUUCCUCCACAAGUUGUUUGCUUGACGGUACCAGUCUAAAAUCCCAUAGAAGCCUUACUUUAAUUAUGCAUGCAUCAUUGUCAAACCUAGUUGGAUCAGUUAUGUAGUCCACAUAAUGAUCCUUGAAGAUGUCUUAUCCAUAGUCCAUCAAGUUUUCCAUAAUCCCAAUGGACACAACCACGUUUUAUGCAUUAGUUUGGAGAACUAAAUGUCGAUAUGCUAAUCAUAAAUGUAUAAAUAGUCUAGUUCAAUGGGGGUAAGGCCUAACCAUUUUGUUUUGCAGAAAAUGAGGCACGAGGUUCCCAAAUUCGGUAUGGUUAGCAAUAUCCCUCCAUUGUUGCUAAGUUGGUGGGAAGAUCUGACUGCGCGAGCUGGGAGAUCUGUUUGAUGGAGUUUGGAAGAUUGAAUAUGGGGAAGGUCCUUUAGGGACCAAAUAGAUUAGAUUUACAUUUUUUCCUUAAAUUUAAUAAAGGCCAAGUUCUAGUAGUGACUUGUCUCUUUUCAUUAUGUUAGCGUCAUUUUGGAUUCAUCUACUUUUAUGCCAUGAAAUGAGGCAUUUAUUGGCAAUUGAAGUUCUCCAAAUUUAUUUGUCGCUAGGACUACCUCGGGCACAACGAGGCUCUCAAAUUAGG
rnacentral:lncRNA from 1 species